UACGUAGGAGGCGAGCGUUGUCCGGAGUACUGGGCGUAAAGCGCACGCAGGCGGUCAGAUUAGUCUGUAGUGACAGUCGUCGGCUCAACUGACGAAGUACUAUGGAAACUGUCUGACUUGAGGGCUUCAGAGGGACACGGAAUUCCGGGUGGAGUGGUGAAAUGCGCAGAUAUCAGGAGGAACACCGAUGGCGAAGGCAGGUCUCUGGGCCACUACUGACGCUGAGAAGCGAAAGCAUGGGG
rnacentral:rRNA from 1 species